GACGAACGCUGGCGGCGUGCUUAACACAUGCAAGUCGAGCGAUGAAGCUCCUUCGGGAGCGGAUUAGCGGCGGACGGGUGAGUAACACGUGGGCAACCUGCCUUAUAGAGAGGAAUAGCCAUUCGAAAGGAUGAUUAAUACCUCAUAAUAUUGUAGCUUCGCAUGGAGCAACAAUCAAAGGAGCAAUCCACUAUAAGAUGGGCCCGCGGCGCAUUAGCUAGUUGGUGAGGUAACGGCUCACCAAGGCGACGAUGCGUAGCCGACCUGAGAGGGUGAUCGGCCACAUUGGGACUGAGACACGGCCCAGACUCCUACGGGAGGCAGCAGUGGGGAAUAUUGCACAAUGGGGGAAACCCUGAUGCAGCAACGCCGCGUGAGUGAUGACGGCCUUCGGGUUGUAAAGCUCUGUCUUCAGGGACGAUAAUGACGGUACCUGAGGAGGAAGCCACGGUUAACUACGUGCCAGCAGCCGCCGUAA
rnacentral:rRNA from 1 species